rnacentral:lncRNA from 1 species
GCAAACUCAAUUCGAUUUAACCAUCAUUUUCCCAUCGAAGUUCAAAAUCAAAUCCGACUUCAAAAUUUCAUCAACACCAUACAAUCUCAAAAUCGAAUUCGACGAAGAUGAUGGUUGAGAAGCAUCCAUCACCACUUUCGAUUUAACCCAUUUCAAUUUAUAGAAUCCAAAAAGCAAAACAAGUACAACUUAACUCAGAAAUAACAGCAACAACUUCAAUUGAUUUUUUCCAGCUUCAAUUAGUGUAGGUAGGACAUGCAAGAAGAAGAAACAAAAUGAAGAAGGAAGAAGAGGGAGUGGACUUCAGACUUCAUAUUCAACAACAACAACAACCUCAAUUGACUUCAAUAAGCUUCAAUUUAUUUUAAAUAUGUGGUGAGUUGAGAUUUGAGUUGAAACACACCACAACAGGAGAAACAAUAAAAUCACAGAAAUCACAAAAACACAAUUUUGAGAAAUCACAAAAAUCCUCUUCUUUAACAACACCAGCAACAUUCAUUGUCAAAACAUAUGUUUUCCCAACAAGUAUCCAAUGAACAAACAAGAUUUUAAAUAACCUAACUUCACCAUAAGCGGCAACAAAAACACCCAUUGAAAUGGAAAGCAUAUUAAACAUGAUGUUUUUUUUAACAUAAUAUAUGUUGGUGACAGUCGGGAAUUUUGUGAGUACUGGGAGAGUGAUUGGGUUUAAAGUGAGAAGAGACACAACUUCCAUAAUUGUAUGUUGUUGGUGGUUGUAAUAGAGGAAGAAAUGGAUUUGGGUUUCAAAAUUGGGAAUUAGGGAUCUAAGAU